rnacentral:misc_RNA from 1 species
CCCAAAAUAGACCUGAAAAUUAGUAGUAAAAAGUUACUAUUGGUAAGAAACAGCUGGGACUGGGGCCUCCUCGAAAAACCAUGAAGAUGGUCCUAGAUGUCCAUCAUGAGAUUAUGACAAUUCAACAUCAAAUUAAUGAUACCAACAUGUAAAAGACUGCAGUAGAAAGGCAGUUUGGAACCGUGAUUUCACCUUUACACAUGUUCACUCAUACUCUGCUCCUGCUGCACAAAAUAUG